rnacentral:rRNA from 1 species
GACGAAGGAUGCAAGCGUUUAUCCGGAUUCAUUGGGUUUAAAGGGAGCGUAGGUGGCCUUAUAAGUCAGUGGUGAAAUCUCUGGGCUUAACCCAGAAAAUUGCCAUUGAUACUGUAGGGCUUGAGUAUAGUUCCGUUGGCGGAAUAUGACAUGUAGUGGUGAAAUACAUAGAGAUGUCAUAGAACACCGAUUGCGAAGGCAGCUGACGAAACUAUAACUGACACUGAGGCUCGAAAGUGUGGGGAUCAAACAGG